AAAGUGCGAUAACUAGUGUGAAUUGCAUAUCUGCUUGUGACUCAUCGAGUUUUUGAACGUAGAAUGCCCGGGGGCAACCGUCGGGCACGCCAGGAUGAGUGACACUAUUUUUCCACAUUGCACCUAGGCACGGGCGAGAGCGCGUGGCCCAUGGAGCAGAGCUGACAUCGUAUGUUUACGUACUUUGUUCAAAUAACACACCCCCACUUGCCGCUUGAGCUGCGAGGACUUCCGAGUGAAACAACCCGAGCAGCCCACUUCGGCAGUGGUAAAUCACCCCCGCCCAGCCUGCCAAUGGGCAAUUUAGACUGAAACGUGUCCUCAUCUCUGACGGGACUACCCGCUGAACUUAA
rnacentral:misc_RNA from 1 species